rnacentral:rRNA from 1 species
AUGCCUCGACAGAUGAUUUAUGCGCACAACGUCGAAGUGGCGGUGGAAGAGAUAAUCCCUUACCUAGAGGAUACGAGCAAUACUGCACACAAGACCAUCUAUUUUGGUGGAUGGCAUGGGUUGGCUGCUUCUGCGGUGCUUAGAGCCAUAGCUGAAGACCCUCCGCCAUCUCUGCUAAAGAAAUUCAACAAGAUAAUCCACGUUGAUUGCUCGAGGUGGAAAAGCCGAAGAGCACUCCAGAGGACAAUCGCACAAGAACUGAACCUUCCUCAACAGAUAAUGGAUAUUUUUGAUAGGCAAGAUGAACAAGAUGAUUUUGCUGGGAUAGAUCAGGGCUCAAAAGCUGAGGUAGAAGAUGUUGGGGCAGAGAUCCAUCACGCCUUACAAGACCACAAAUGUUUGGUGGUCUUCCAUAAUGGGAGCGACAACACAAUUGACUUGAAUGAUUUUGGCAUUCCCAAGCAGGAACGAUGGUUCCCGUUUGUUGGUAAAGUAUUGUGGACAUUCCGAGGAAGGCUUCGGCUCAAUCCAGGAAUUAGUGAGAAGGUGGAUAAUUCACAUCUUUUCAUAUCUUGUGAUGAUAGUGCUUUUACGUGGAACGAUGUGUUGCAACACGAAGCUAGAGAAAUAGUUGGGUACAAUGAUAAGGUUGAGGAAGUAGCUACAGAGUGUUGCUUGUAUCUGCUAUCAUUAAAUUCUCAGGGAGGCAACAUUAUGGACUACAAUUGGGCCACCCAUGCUUCUAGCUAUUGGGUCUGCGAUGGGAUUAUACAGGGAGGUCAGGGUGACGAAGCAUGGGAGGUUGCUGCUGCUCUGCAUCGACAGAUACAUACAGAUGAUUAUUCAUCUAAUGCACUGCCCUUUUUUGGUCAUGAGUUGGAGACUCCUCUGAAACGGUGGAUAUUGGCCAAGGACAACUCUGUUGUGCCUCCAGAGUCCACAUCAUUUUUCCUCCCAGCAGUAACAAGCGGAUCUGAUUCUCCAUUAAGACCAUUACCUAAUGGCAUGUUUCAUCAAUCGGACAAACUUUGUGUGCUCAAGUUAUGCCGCUGCACCUUCAGUUUUUCUUCACCUCCAUUCGGUUGUUGCCACACCUUAAGGUUCCUUGGAUUAGAUGGCUGCAAGGAUCAACAAGUAGAAGAAGAUGAGAAGCAAGAUAGACCAACAAUGGAAUUGUUUCAGAGCCUAUGGGUACUAGACAUAUGCGACACAGAUUGGGAGUUGGAUUUAGCAACAUACAUAACACAUCAGAUGGCUGCAAACAUUAGGGAGGUACAUAUAAAGAAAGGAAGGAUUUGGUGCCACAAUUUUUCAUGGCGAAAACUGCAGAACCUUCGUAAGCUUCUAGUGAUUGAGCCUACAAGGCCUUGGCAGACAGGAGAAGAGGAUGAAUUUACAGAUACAGUGAAGAUGGAAUUCCUCGACCUUUCUGGGAAUACUACACUACAAGUUUUGCCAAGCCUAUCAAAAGCAACUAGCCUCAAGACCUUGGUUCUAGAUGGUUGUGUUGGGUUGGAGCACCUUGGACCAGAAGCACUGCCUCCGUUACUUGAAUCAUUCAGCUUGGAUGUAGGAGUGGUAGAACUUCAAUCCAAGGACGCCAAAAUAAGUUGCAUCUCUAUGGCUGGUUGCGCAAGAUUGUCCAACUUCACACUACGUGGAUCACUUCCAAACCUUGAGGAGCUGGACCUCUCAGGCACAGGAGUCAAGACACUUAACCUUACAACUCAAGUGGUGCAGGUCCCAUGUCUCCAGCGAGUCAUGCUGUUGGGAUGUGAGCAAUUAUGUGCUGUCCUUUGGCCUGAAGAGGGUAUGCCUCAGCUAAGUUUGCUAUGCAUUGACACCCGGGGAGAAGAGAUUAGAAGAAUACCACCGAAAUUUGACAAGUUAAAGAAAGGACAUUGCCAAGCAUAUGUUGCCAUGAUGGACAUGAAAUUCAUUCAGUUAUUGGUGUUAAGAAGUUCCAAUAUGUUUUGGAACACGAACAUUGAUACUACGUUCAAACUAAAUCUCUGCAUAUCUGCAAGUGGACAGUGGCGCAAUAAGAAGAAUAUGGACUCUGAUAACAGUGGGGAAAAUUUGGGGCCAGCCCUAGAAAAGCCAUUAAUGUCCAAUUCUUCUCACAACCCCUACAUUGAUGCAGGUACUGACAACAUAACUAUAGAUCAUGACUACAACCGUGCAUCGCAAUUUCAGUCAUCGACCUACCAUGUGGAGAUUGGUGAUGGAAUUAGCAACACUUGUGUCGAUAGCAUACAAGGCAUGCAAGCUAUCAUCUUUGCAAUGAACAAGGCCAAGUCGUUGGAUGUGCACGACAAUUCUUCCAUCACCACUGUCAUCCCUGAACAUAUGAUGUCCAUAGAAAGUAAUGUACUUACAUGGCAAAAUCUGAAAUCUUGUCAUGUGGUGAGAUGCCCCAAGAUGCAUACCCUCUUCAAUAUUGUCUGGGGAUAUUGCAAAUUUGAAGAACUAUUGGAGUUUUGGGCGGCUGAUCUCCUAUCGGCCCAUUGCAUUUGGAGCAAACAAAGGGUGUCGAAUUUUCAAGACAAUCUUUCCUUUGCGAAACUGCAGAGCAUACACCUGUUCUCCUGCCCGAGGCUCACGUUUGUCCUCCAGUGGUCCAGGUUAUACAUCUUGAGAAGCUUGGAGAUCCUCCACAUCACCUUCUGUGGUGAUCUAAAGCAGGUGUUCCCCGUGGAGCCAGAGAUAUUGGCAAGAAUAGCUACAAGCCAUUGUAAAGGUGCAUUGGAGUUCCCAAACCUGAAGCGUAUCUACCUGCAUCAACUCCUCAAGCUGCAAUAUAUAUGCGAGGCCAAGAUGUUUGCUCCCAAGCUUGCAGCCAUCGUGGUAAGGGGGUGUUGGGGUCUUAGGCGCCUCCCGGCUAUCGGUCGUGACAGCCGUCCUGUCGUGGACUGUGAGAAGGACUGGUGGGAGAAGUUAGAGUGGGACGGACUGGAAGCCGGCCACGACCCUUCCCUCUUUGAGCCGCGCCACUCGGCGUAUUACAAGAAGCCCCUGCCUAGAGGCUCAGUUCUCUGGUAA